UACAGAGGUCUCAAGCGUUGUUCGGAUUCAUUGGGCGUAAAGGGUGCGUAGGCGGCGCGGUAAGUCGGGUGUGAAAUCUUGGAGCUUAACUCCGAAACUGCAUUCGAUACUGCCGUGCUUGAGGACUGGAGAGGAGACUGGAAUUCCCGGUGUAGAGGUGAAAUUCGUAGAUAUCGGGGAGGAACACCAGUGGCGAAGGCGGCGACCUGGGCCGAAUAUUGACGCUGAGGUGCGAAAGGCGUGGGGAGCAAACAGG
rnacentral:rRNA from 1 species